UACAGAGGUCUCAAGCGUUGUUCGGAUUCAUUGGGCGUAAAGGGUGCGUAGGCGGCGCGGUAAGUCGGGUGUGAAAUCUCGGAGCUUAACUCCGAAACUGCAUUCGAUACUGCCGUGCUUGAGGACUGGAGAGGAGAGUGGAAUUCCUGGUGUAGCGGUGAAAUGCGCAGAUAUCAGGAAGAACACCUAUGGCGAAGGCAGCUCUCUGGGACGGUACUGACGCUGAGACGCGAAAGCGUGGGGAGCGAACAGG
rnacentral:rRNA from 1 species